ACCCCCCAUGAAGGCUGGAAUUUUUAUCUACCUUGUUCAUUUAUGUACCUAGAAAUACCUCAGUACCUAGAAAUGUAUCUGGAACAUAAUAGGUACUCAGUACUUAUUUGCUGUUGGAUGUUAAAACAGCUGCAUCCCUCUACUGGCUCUAAGUUCUUGUCUUACUCAUUAACGCAUCCUCCGUGUCAAGAACAACUCCUGGCUCAUAAUAAACAUUCAAUAAAUGUUAACUAAUUAAUAAAUUAAUGGAUUAAUGAAUUAAUGAAACAGUUCACCAAGAACAAAGCUUUAACAUAAAAGAAUCUCUUUGAAAUCAAAUAACGCACAUUGUCUAUUUACCCAUCUUCCAUUUGUCUCCCCUCUUCACUUCUACAAGGAUUUCUCCAAUCAACCUUCCUUUCCUUUAACUCAUCUUUGGUGUACCUACUAACUAGUUCCAGUGAAGUCACACUUCCAUGUCUAGCUCCCUGUGGGGAAACAGCUGCAAAAUAGCAGACUUGAGGGAGACUGUUUUCCUGUUUUCUCUUCUUGUUUAUACACAUCUGUUAAAUUUUAAAACUCUUUGCAAUUAACAUGUAAUACUUGCUAUUUAAUUAAAAGGAUGCUAAGUUAUAAAGAUUGAAACAUUAAAAGGCACAAAAGGAAAAAAAUACAGAAACUUCAAUUCUUUGACAGUACUUUAAGAAAAUGUGAGUCUACCAUAGUUAGAAGGUUGUUUCCAGAUCCUAAUAAUUUACAUUAUUAUGUUAAAAUAUAUGUGUAGAGACAGCUCUUCUUCAAGGUUCAAAUUAAUAUUUAUACAAGUUAUGACCAACCUCAUACCUCCACUUUCCUGACCUGUUUUUCUAUGACUUUAAUUACCAGAAUCAAGAGUAGAAAAAUGAAAAUAAAAUAGAAAAGUUUCUAUUUCAACAAUCACAACUCAGCAAAUCACUUAGAAAGCUUUACUAAUUUCUCCAGUUUCAAAAAUGAAGGGUAAAGUCGUUCAGGUAAAGCCCAUCCUUGCUACACACCUUUCCAGCAUGUGGCCCUCUUUAUUGUGAAGGCCUUGGGCACAAAUGAAAGUUACAACUUUAAGUCCCACAAAGAAAUCUUGAAAGAGCCAAAUAUCUGUUCAUCUAACUCAGCCUUCAGAAAACAGAGGCAUGUGACUCUUUUUGAACCUGCCUUCAAAGCUGAGGAUUGUCAGCCACGGGCUUCUUUUUCACAUCACAUGGGGUCCACUGGUGAUCAGACACCUGUGAAGCUGCCUGUGUUACCUCGAAAGCUUUUGUAGCCUCUGCAGGCACAGCUAUGCUGGGGACAGUCACCUGUGUCACUUGUGGUUGGUAAUUACAGAAUAAAAGUCACUGGAGUCCUAACAUGUGAAGGAAGUGCCAGGAAACAGAAUUCUCUCAAGAUGACUUUUAAAUGACUAGGUUAAUCUUCUACUGUAUCUUUUCAGGUAAGCAAGGGUGGGGGUGGAGUUAGGGAUGAAGUGGGAGAAAUAGAUGGGUCUUGGCAACAAGUCAUCCAUCCAACCAAAGGCCAGAGGAAUCACCACCUCUGCCACCCAUAUAAAUAACUUUACCUAAUGAAAUGCAUACGUUCAUUUGCUUCUCCCUGACAUUUAACAACAGACUUGACAUUGGCACAAUCUAUCUGAAUGAUCUGCCAGGAGAGUACUUUUUCAAAGACUGCCAAUUUCCCAUACAAUUGGCAACAUUUUCAGCAAUCUUUCAACUCACUCAUCAGAAGUGACUGGAAUUCCCUAUUCUGGCCCUCUAACUUCUGGGUGUAGAAGGCAGAAGGAAGCAGAAUAUCUGCAGAAAUACAAAUUAGUGCACAGAAAUUCACAAGCUUCAAUUCCUCUUAGCAUGUACACAGGAAUAAUGAAAUAGAGCUGUGCCAACUAUAUUUAAAUUCCACAUGUCAUUUCAAAAUGUAUUUAGAGAGAAAUUAAAAUUUUUUAAGUUAAAAAUAGAGGCUUGCUUUAAAAAGCAUUCCUUAUUAGGUAGAAUAGUCUUCACUUUAAAAAAUUUUUUUCUGAAAGCAAAAUAGGACUUCCAUUUGUACAAAUCCCUUCUAAUCUGUAAGCAAGAACACUGGUGGUGGCACGAGAUAAUUUGGUGUUAAGGCAAGAUGAAAAAAAUGGGAAGCUUUCUUAUGAGUUUUAGUUUUUAAAAUUAUAGUAACCUUUUACCAAGGGGUUAGCAUCUCACAAUCUCUAAUUCUAGAGAUACAGUGAACAAUUAAACUGUUAAAAUAACCAAGAUGAUCAAGCUCUCUAAAAUCACAGAACCUCAAUGCAUCAUGGAGGAACUCCUAAAAUGAAAGAAAUGGAGAAAUGAGCUGAGAGUCUAUUUCACUCUAGGACAAUAACUGACAGUUAUAUUUAACAAUGAGUGUCAACCAUAAAAUAUGUUCUGUGUAUUAUUUUAAGAAAGAAAUUCGUAACACAUUUUAGGAACUUUUCCAUCUGAAUGGUUUGCAUUGAGUGAAAAGAUUCAGUUGUCUGAAACAUUAUUUAUUUUGAAGAUUUGCAAUUUUGAACAUAACAAAUGUCAUCUGUGUAAAGUAAACUUGAACUUUGACUAAGUAUUUGUCUAAAAUGAAACAGUAUAGGCAUUAUCCCAGUAAUAGGAAACAGUUUUCUUAACCCUUGUCAACACUACUGUGAUAUAUAUUGAAUAAUAACCGUUUAAGCAUUCUUGGCCUAGUCAUUUAAGAUCUUCCUUUCCAUCUCUUAACUACCUGGCCCCUAAAUAUCUUGACCUAAUAUCAGCAAAAUACGAAGAGCAUUCUUUCCGCUGUUGCUGGGACUACUCCCCUCCAAAAUCUUCAACUCCCAUACUCUCCUUCUCACAAGUUCCACCUCAUGGAAUUGUCCAUGAAGUUCUCUCUUUCAGUAAUGCUGACAAUGCCUCUUUGACUUCACCAAGUCAUUCAAGGCCUUUUCAUCUUCCUUUUCCAUCCAUCCAUCAACACCUCUUGGCUUCAGUUCUUUUUGUUGUCGUUGUAAUUCACCACUUAACUGUACUCUUUAUUAGCACCGUUGACUCUUUAUCCUUGUCUCUUUUCAUUCAACAAACCCGAAACUGUCCAAAUCAAACAAGGUAAGAGGCAUCCCCACCAUUUUCUCUUCCUUUAUUCCAAUUUUUAUAUACUUUAAAUAAAAAUAGAUCACACCCUCCUUGGAGAGAAAAACAUGCAUGUAGACAUGCAACCAUGUUCUAUGAGUACAGGCAAAAGUGGUACGUGCAAUUUCUAGAAAGGGACAUUAACUGAAAGGGAAGAGACAUCUUUCUUGUCCUCUUUGUUUUUCUCAAUCUGUGAAGUAUGACUGGAGCACCUGUGGCCAUACUGGAUCACGAAGCAAGCUUGGAAAUGGCACAGCAAUGACACAGAGAAGCCUGCAUACUUGAAACCAGGGAGCAUCAUGUUAGUUCUGGACUGACCACUUCGGGAUAUUUUGAACAAAGGAAUAAACUUUUACCUUGGUUAAGCCUCUGCUAUUUUGGCUUGUCCUAUUACUGUAAGUUGAAUGUAAGCCUCCCUAAUUAUGCUGACCAUCUGCUCUAGUUUUACACUUCUUGAUACCUCAGUUUCCACUUGUAUAAACUGAGAAUAAUAAUGAUACCUAACUCAUAAAUCUGCUGUGAAAAUUAAGGAUUUAACAGUGCCUGGUAUAUAAUUAACAUUCAAAAAUGUUGGUUAUUAUAAUUAUCAUUAGCCCUACCCAGUCCAAGAAAGUGUAGCUGGGGAAAUCUGCAAAACUCUAAGGAUUGAGCCUUCCAGUGACAGUAAUAACCUUUAAUUUGCUUUUAAACCUCCUCACCCAUUUCCUUCAAUGAUUAUCAGCAUACUAAUUCCAUUGUCAAUCCUUACCCCCUAUUAACUAGGCUCCAUCUCACCAGAUAACACCUUGUACUACAAAAUUGAGACCACAGACCUCCACUCCCUCCACAAAGGGUGACCCACCUCUACCCUCCUGUGUUCUCAUUCAUGCUGCCUCUUUGCCUUCUCUCAUUCCUGAAGAGGAGGUGCCUUUUGCUCAAGGCUCACGUCUCUGCCUGGUUCUGUACUCCAUACCCCCCCUUUCUUAUUUCACCCCUCCCUUGUAUAUGCAAUUUCUGCUUAUCUAUUGAUUCAUCCUCCUUUUGACAAUAAACACUUUCCAGUUUAUAUCAAUACUAAGCAUGAAAAUUUAUAUAUCACCCUCACUGGCAUAUUCUUUUUUUCUCCCUAUUUAACUACACAUCUGACAAAUCAACAGUGUACUCUAAAUACCCAUCAAUAAAGGUAUUAAUUAUUUCUUUGUUUCCAAAUCCAAUCCUUAUACUUGAUAACAACCAGUCAAAAAGCUGGGAGUCAUAUAAACUAUACUUCUCUUUUAUGCCUUAAAAUAAAUUCAUCAUUAAAUAUUGAUUUUACAACUUAAAUAUCUUUAAAAACCAUUCUUCUCUGUCUGUGAUGCUAUUUUCUUUAAGGCUUCUUCAUAUCCUACCUGAAUCUGUGAAAUAACUAUUUUCUUCCCUUGAAAUCCAGCCUGCCUGUAGCUACCAGAAUGAUCUUUCAAAGUAAUGCUGUGAUGUAGUUUCAUCCUUCUUUGAAGAAGUUGACCCUUUAAAUCCCACCAUGCUGUUUUGUUUACUAUAGCUUUAUAAGAUAGCUUAAAGUCAGGAUAUUUUAUACUUCCAGGUUUGUUCUUUUUUCUCAAGAUUGCUUUUGCUCUUUGGAAUCUUUUAUGGAUCUACACAAAUUGUUUCUUUUUUAUUUCUGUAAAAAAUGCCAUUGGAAUUUGGAUAGAGAUUGCAUGGAAUCUAUAGAUGGCUUUAGGUAUUAAUGACAUUUUAAACAAUAUGAUUUUUUCUGAUCCAUGAACAGGAUAUUCUGCCAUUUAUUUGUGUCUUCUUCAAUUUCUCUCAUUAAAGUCUUACAUUUGUCAGUAUACAGAUCUUUCACCUCCCUGGUUAAAUUUAUUCGUAAGUAUUUUAUUGUUUUUGAUGUUAUUGUGAAUGAGAUUGCUUUAUUUCUUUUUUAGAUAUUUCAUUGCUAGUGUAUAGAAAUCCAACUGAUUCCUAUAUGUUGGUUUUGUAUCCUACAACUUUAAUCAACGAAUUCCUUGAUUAAUCAUUUUUUGGUGAAAUCUUUAGAUUUUCUAUGUAUCAAUCAUAUAAUCCACAAAGACAAUUCAACUUCAUCCAUUUUGAUUUGGAUGCCUGUUAUUUAUUUUUCUUGCCUGACUGCUCUAGCUAGGACUCUGUUGAGUAGGAGUGAUGAGAGUGGGCACCAUUGUCUCGUUUCUGACUUUAGAGAGAAAAAAAACAUUCAAACUUACACCAUUAAUUAUCAUGGUAGCUGUGGGCUUGUCAUAUAUGGCCUUUGUUACACUUCCAUAUGUUCCUUCUAUACCCUAUUAGUUUAGAGUUUUUAUCAUGAAAAACAUGUUGUAUUUUGUCAAAUGCUUUUUCAACAUCUAUUAAGAUGACCAUAACUUCUGUCUUUCUAUUAAUGUAGGGUAUCAUAUGUAUUGAUUUGCACAUGUUGAAGUAUCCUUGCAUGCCAGGGAUGAGUCCCAUUUAUCAUGUUGUAUGAAUCUUUAAAUGUGCUAUUUGGUUUGCUUUGUUGGUAGUUUUGCAUCUAUGUUCAUCAGAAAUAUUAGCCUGCAGUUUUCUUUUCUUGUAGUGUCCUCAUCAAGUUAUAAUGUUAGGGUAAUAUUGGCCUCAUAAAAUGCAUUUGGAAGUAUUCCCUUCUUCUCAGUUUUUUGGAAGAGUUUGAGAAGGAUUGGCAUUAAUUCUUCUUUAAAUGUUUGGUAUUAUUCACGAGAGAAACCAUCUGGUCCUGUGCUUUCCUUUCUUGGAAGAUUUUUGUUUACUGAUUCAAUCUUCUUACUCUUUAUUGGUCUGUUGAGAUUUUCUGUUUAUUCGUAAUUCAGUCUUGGUAGGUUAUAUGUUUCUAGGAAUUUUUCCAUUUCCUCUAGGUUAUCCAAUUCAUAGGCAUAUAGUUGCUCAUAGCAUUCAUGAUCCUUUGCAUUUCUGUGGUAUCAGUUGUAAUGUCUCCUUUUUCAUUUCUGACUUAAUUUAUUUGAGUCUUCUUGGUUUUUCUCAGUCUAGCUAAAAGUUUCUGAAUUUUGUUUAUAUUGUCAAAAAGAUCAGCUCAUAAUUUCAUUGAUCUUUUCUAUUGUUUUUCUGGUCUCUUUCUACUCUGAUAUUUGCCUUCCUUCUGCUAACUUUGGGCUUGGUUUGUUCUUGUUCUAAUUUCUUGAGAUAUAAAGUUAGGUUGCUUAAGAUCUUUUUUUCUUACUGUAGGCAUUUAUCUCUAUAAACUUUCCUCUUAGAAAUGCUUAUGUUGCACCCCAUAAGUUUUGGCAUUUUUUUGGCCAUUUUCAUUUGUUUCAGGAUAAUUUUUAAAUUUCCCUUUUGAAUUCUUCUUUGACCCUAUGGUUGUUUAGGAGUGUGCUGGUUAAUCUCCACAUAUUUGUGAAUUUUCCAGUUUCCUCCAGUUAAAUUGAUUUCUAAUUUCAUCACCAUUAUGGAUGGAAAACAUACUUGGUAUGACUUCAAUCUUCUUAAAUUUUCUAAGACAUUUUUUGGCAGCCCACCAUAUGAUCUCUCCUAGAGAAUUUUCUGUGUGCAUUUGCAAAGAAUGUACACUUGAGAAGAAUGUGUAUUCUGCUGCGUUGGAUUCAAUGUUUUGCAUAUGUCUGUUAGGUACAUUAGGUCUAAAGUAUAGUUCAAAUCCAGUGUUUCCUUAUUGAUUUUCUGUCUGCAUGAUCUAUACAUUGUUGAAAGUUGGGCACUAUAGUCUCCUUCUCUUUGUCAUGAGGCAGCAUAUUUUGGGUCUUGUGCUUUUGUUAUCCUUCCAGCCACUCUAUAUUGUUUAAUUAGAGAAUUUAAUAUUUAUAUUUAGAGUAAUUAUUGAUAGGUAAGGACUUAUUAAUGCCAUCUUUUAAAUUAUUUUCUGACCACUGUAUGGUUCCUUUGUUCUUUUCUUCCUCUCUUGCUGCCUCCCUUUGUGAAUUGAUGGUUUCCUGUAGUGGUAUGGUUUGAUUCAUUUCUCUUUAUCUUCUGUCAAUCUAUGCUUUUGAUGUGUGGUUACCAUGAGGCUUACAUAAAUUAUCUUAUAAAUACAUCAGUCUAUUUUACACUGAUAAUUCAUCUUUGCUCCCUUACAAAAGCUAUCCUUUUACUGCCCCUUUCUACGUUUUUAAUGUCACAAUUUACCUCUUCUUAUAUUGAGUAUUCACUAACAUUAUUGUAGGCAUGUUUAUUUUUAAUACUUUUGUCCUUUAACCUUUACACUAGAGUUAAGUUGUUAACACACCACAUUACAGUAUUAAUCUGAAUUUGACUUUAUACUUAACUUUGCCAAUGUGUUGUAUAUUUUCUUAUGUUUCCACAUUAAUAAAUAGCAUCCUUUCAUGUCAUUGAAGAACACUUUCAGCAUUUUGUAAGGUCUAGUGGUGGUUGACUCCCUCAGCUUUUGUUAAUCUGUGAAAGUCUUCAUCUCCUCUUUAUUCCAAAGGGAAACUUUGCCAGAAGUUUUCUUGGUUGGCCGUUAUUUUCUUUCAGCGCUUUGAACGUAUCAUCCCACUCUCCUGGCCUGUAAGAUUUCUGCUGAGAAAUACACUGAUAGUCUUCUGGGGGUUCCCUUGUAGGUCACAAGCUUCUUCUCUCUUGCUCCUUUUGAGACUCUGUCUUUGAUUUUUGACAGUUUUAUUAUACCGUAUCUCAGAGAAGAUCUCUUUAAGUUGAGUUUGUUUGGUAACCUACGAAUCUUGUGAACAUUGAUAUCCAAAUCUCUCUCUAGAUUUAGAAAGUUCUUAGCCAUUAUUUCUUUAAAUAAGCUUUCUGCCCCCUUCUCACUCUGUUCUCCUGCUGGAACUCCAGUAAUUCACAAUUUACCUCUUUUGAUAGUAUCCAGUAGGUCAUAUAGGCUUUCUUCACUUUUUUUCAGUCUUUUUGUUGUUAUUCUGUUUCAAAGUUCUGUCUUCUAACUCACAGAUUCUUUCUUUUGCUUGAUGCAUUAUGCUGUUACACUCUCUAUUGCAUUUUUCAUUUCAUAUAUUGUAUUCUUCAACCUCCAGAAUUUUUUCAUUAUUUUAAUGAUUCUUAUUUCUUUGAUAAAUUUCUCACUUUUUCAUGUACUGUUUUCUUAAUUUCAUUGAAUUGUCUGUGUUUUCUUGUAGCUCACUGGGCUGCCUUAAAACAGCCAUUUCAAAUUCUUUAUCAAGUAAAAUUUCAGAUCUCCAUGUCUUCAAGAUCAGUUACUAUAUGGAAAUAGAAUAAUGGAAGGUUUUCAUAAUUUUUUGUUGUUGUCAUGUUCCCAUAGUAUUUUAUGUUCCCUGAAGUUUUGCAUUGCUAUCUUCACAUCUGAAGUAACAGUCACCUCCUCCAGUCUUUACUGAUUGCUUUUGGGAAAGAAAUACCUUCUUCCACCAGCCAUAAUUCCUGCUAGGGAUUCUGAUGCUUUUUCAGACAUACUAUGGAUAUGCCUGUUCCAUUCUCCUUGUUCCCUCUUACUGUACAAUUCUUAAUCUUUUAUGCCUCUGUUGACCCUGCAAUAUACCAGGCCAGGUGCUGACAGCUUCCCUUCUGCCUUCUCAAGGAUGGUACUAAACCUUAAGUUUGCAGUGUCUUCCUGACCCAAAGGUUUGGGCUAACUUUCUCCUUGUACUCACUAUUUGUAUGUCAAAGCUCAGUCUCACUGCUGCCACUAGGAUUACACACAGGGCGCUGGCCAUAGGGUGGACAUUGUUCCAGACAACUUUGAAAGAAGUGGGGGUGAGUCACAUGGAGUACUGGGGGUGCCUAUGGGCCAGCUGGGGAGACUGCAGGCAACGGAUGUGCAGUGGUUCAUGGACAGGCUUCUUAAUGGAGUCCGUGUCACAGUUAGUAGGAUCCACGUCCCUGUAAUGUCCUCUGUGUCCCAUCUGUUGCUCUCUCAGCUGCUUUCCAACCCCCAAUCAUGCAGCUCAUGAUUCAGUGAUCCUCUCUGAUGUGCUCAAACUUGUAACAUUUUUUGCUCCAGUGGUGUGCUAGAAUUUCUCCUCUGGAACCUGGACUUCCACAAAGAUUCUCUCAUCUGUGGAGACUGAAUGCAACAGGACUUUCCAAGGGUUCCCAAAUAAUGGCCAAGAGAGGCUAGAGCCAGUUCAUGGGCCACAACUGGGUCCACAGCUGAGACCAAGGUUUUUAUGCCUAUUACUGCAUGCACACAGAGGUGAGGCUCCUUCCAGGCCCCCUGGCAUAUGGUACUAGAUCUCACAGCUCUGACAAAGCACUUUUGCCCAUGGAUAAUGCCAAAUUGUUGUUGUUGAGGGGUGGGACAUGAUAGACAAGGACUGUUCUAUUUAUCUGUGUUGUUGACAUCACUCCUAUAGUCAUUUGUUUAAAUUUCUAUUAGAUUGCUAACCUUCCAGGCAAGUACAGUCUCCCCUUCACUUUUCCACUUUGCAUUCUCAGUGCAUAUCAUAGCAAUAAAACUCUGGAAUGAACACAUAUAUAGAAAAUAUUUGGGAAAAAAAACGCAAGUGGUAUAAAAGCACCAGAAGUGAAACAGUCACUAAUAGACAAGGUUUUCCUUCCUCCAGCCCCCAUUUUGACACCUUGGGUUUUCAUACAAUCAGGUUAAAAAUUGUUUUACAAAAUGUCUCCUAAUUGUUCCAAACAACCUUGAUAGAAGUUUUCUCUCUUUAUUAAUUUUCCUUUAUAUGUUUUAUUUGCAACUCUUUAAUCUUGAACCUUUGUUAACUACACCUCACUAUUUAUGCUUUCAAUGAUUUCACAUUAAGUUGGUUGGUCUUCUUUACCAUAUUUCUCCAAUUUCUAUUCUGUAGAGCAAAGUCUCACCUAGUGUGCUUGCCCUUUGUUUUAACUUCCUCCGUGGACAAUAUCAGCAGAUUUAAUUUCCUUUGUACAACUAAGCUUAAUGAACAACCAGUUCAUUAUGAAGUCAUGAAAUUUUUUUCUAUGCUCUAAUACAGUAUUCUUCAUUUUCUAAUUUUCUACUCAAUAUACCAUCUUACAGGAUGUGAGCUUUGCCUUUUUUUUGUGUCUUUGUUGUACUAAGUCAUCUACAUUUCCUUUCUCUGUCCCUUUGUUAUCAGGCUAGUUUGUGUGAGAAUGUUAGCUGGAGUUAAUGCCAUAGCAAGAACUGCCAGACAAAUUCACUCCUUGUAAAGACAUUUAAAAACUCUGAUACUCAUAUAUGAUAAAUUAGUAACCAAUGUCUGUGAAUUAAUACAUUUCUUCAUUAAUUAAUAAAACCCCAUGUACUUAAGAUGUUGCCACUCCAACUUAUGUUUGAACAGAGAAAUCAAGUGAGCAAUCAUACUGAUAGAAUUCUUACUAGUUAUGUUUGCAGGAAAUUUGAAGCUUAAAUAUUAAAUAAUUGCAAUUAAGGAGAUCCAUGAAAUAUAAUAUUGGUAUCUUCCCAAAGGUGAACAUUAUAUUUUUUCACACUGAAGUGUUUAAAGGCUUAUCAUAUAAGAACCAAGUAAUAUAAUACAGUUAAUCUGCAUAAUAAGCCUUAAAUGUAUUUUUUUAAAUUUCAGGUCCAUGAAUAUCCAUAAUCAUUUCAUAUUCAUACCAUACUAGAGACUAUCUUAGUUUUAUUAUAGUGUUGACUCAACAUAUUUGAGCAAACAGUUAUUUGGGCCAUCUAGCUAGUAUAUAGGAAAAAUCAAAAUACAUAGUUCAAACACAUUUAACAAAAUACAUAAUUUUAACAUUUCAAGGAAGCAUUUUUAGAGUUACCAUAAGUAAGACAUUUACUGACAACCUGCAGUAGGUUGGGUAAAGAAUCUUUCAUUUAAUUCAACAUUGAAUUAAAACUGAUAUUGGGGGAAAAAAAGUUAUAUUAUGUGAAUGAACUUCAAAAGGUUCAGAAGUUGGCCCUGAUAUAUUCACAUUCUCAUCCAAACUGGAAAUCUGAAAUAUUAUGUUGAAAAUGGCUUAAAACUGUCUUUUUUGAAAGACUACAGGACCUUUAUUUUCUCCUUCCCACCAGACUAUAAAUGCUGGAAGAACAACCUGUCUUAUGGCAUUUUGGGCACACAAUUUCCCUUCCCAGCAAUAAAUUGGAAGUACAGAGUUUAUGUCUGUUGGAUUCCCAUCUGUCAACUAAACAGCAGUGAGAUCAAAUCCAUCACUCAGUUUCUAAGGCUGUUUAUUAGUUAUACGCUUGAUCCUGGCCUUUUAGGAAUCCCAUUCAUAAGACGGAAAAAAUCAAGGUAGUAACCUCUGCCAUACUGAUGGUAAACUUAAAUUACACAUACAUAUGUUUGUUUCUCAUUAGUUGUCACACAUUAUCAUAUUAGCAAAGUGUACUUUUGUAUUUGCUUAAGGUGCUAUUUUUGAUGUUAUUUAUGACAAGUUAAAAAGAUCACCUCCUGCUAGAUUGAGACAGGUAUCUAGAAAGAACAAAACUAAACAAGAUAACAAAGCCUGUGCUAACUACAAUUGCCUAGGAACAAUGUUUAUUGUAAUGAAAGGUAUUAUGCAUGAAGGCGACGGAAACAACGACAUCUUUGAAAGAAAAACUGUGCUUGUGCAUAUGUGCACAUACGUGUGUGUGCCCAAUUAUCCAUUCUUUUAUAGAUUCCUCUAUAAGGCUGACCUAAAUUUUCUUUCCUGUAAAAACAUCUGAAACUGUUAUGUUGGUGUUUCAGUGAGCUGAUGUUUUCACAGAGAUUAUACUGAAUUGUCUCACGUUUUUUUGUGUGUUAUACCUUUGAUAACAAGUUAAAAGUGGAAUUGGGGGGGGGGAAAGACUACCUGCAAACAAGGAACUCCUGUUAAUGAAAUUCUGCAUUGCAUAGUCAACUUUUUGCUUGUCAAAGCAAUGAAACCCAUACUCACAAAAGGACAGAGUAGGAGUGCAGACUGGGGGCAAUUUAGAGCAGUGGUUUCUGUCUUUAUAAUCUCCCAACGUUAUUUCUAUCAUAAUUGCUAGUCAUUAUUAACUCCAAAGAUUCAAACAAAUUCACAGUCAAGCCCUGUUCCCCAUUCAAACAUACACUAUGUGUUA